rnacentral:rRNA from 1 species
AUGAACGCUGGCGGCGUGCCUGAUACAUGCAAGUCGAGCGAACAGAUGAGGAGCUUGCUCCUCUGACGUUAGCGGCGGACGGGUGAGUAACACGUGGAUAACCUACCUAUAAGACUGGGAUAACUUCGGGAAACCGGAGCUAAUACCGGAUAAUAUAUUGAACCGCAUGGUUCAAUAGUGAAAGACGGUUUUGCUGUCACUUAUAGAUGGAUCCGCGCCGCAUUAGCUAGUUGGUAAGGUAACGGCUUACCAAGGCAACGAUGCGUAGCCGACCUGAGAGGGUGAUCGGCCACACUGGAACUGAGACACGGUCCAGACUCCUACGGGAGGCAGCAGUAGGCAAUCUUCCGCAAUGGGCGAAAGCCUGACGGAGCAACGCCGCGUGAGUGAUGAAGGUCUUCGGAUCGUAAAACUCUGUUAUUAGGGAAGAACAAAUGUGUAAGUAACUAUGCACGUCUUGACGGUACCUAAUCAGAAAGCCACGGCUAACUACGUG